rnacentral:lncRNA from 1 species
AUGCGUAUACAAAUAGAAUUGUAUCUCCACUAUUGUACAAUAGUAACUAGUAAGGCUCUUGGAAUCACAUGUGAUGGUCUUCUAUAUAUUCUUUCUAGUGUUGCUAGUGUGUCAUUGGUGUAACCGUCACAUGCGUGAAGCUUUUAAGGGGCGGGAGGGGGGCGGCCGACCCUUCGAACUUUUCGCUCAGUAGUGGAGAGUACGUAGUUUUCGUAUAGAAAUUUUUGAUUAUACACGUUUUCGACCCCCGGAGUUUAUAGAAAUUUUUAGAUCCGACGACUUCCGCUCUAUCAAAAUUCUCUAGCUUCACCACAACCGUGGUUAGGUGGUGAGAACUUAAACUUAUGACACGUGAACAACACUAGAAAGCUUAUAUAGAAGACCAUAACAUGUAAUUCCAAGAGACCAAAUGGGUUACCGAUGACACAAGCAGUGGCCAACCGAAGUGAUGUAGUGUGACUAUUUAUUGUGCAAAACGUGUAUGUCCGGACACGCUAAUCGGCCCACACCAGGCAGCCUCAGGCCCAACAUGUGAGAGGCAAUAUUCCUAGCAUUAUGGAUAAGCAGGAACCUUGGUCGUCGAUUUUACUCUUGUCCUGACCUGGAAAGGUGUCUGGACAUCAUACCUGGUUUGCUUAGGGGUAAGAACAACUUAGAAGAAGCUAAUGUCAAUUUGGAAUAAGCAAACAAUUUUCUUGAAGGCCCACUGAAAGAAAGUGAAGUAAAAUCAAGCAAUUUGAAGAAGUGUUUGGUUUUUAGUUGGACUGGUUUUAUCUUGUAUGUAUUGUUGUUUUACGCUAACAGUUAUGUAAUGCAUGUAACAUGAUGUAAUGUAGGUUAUUAGGGUGUUUUUGUUAUGGAGGUUAUGGUCAUGAUGUACAAUCCAACUAUUAAUGUUAUUCAAGUUAUGUAAUGCAUGUAACAUGAUGUAAUGUAGGUUAUUAGGGUGUUUUUGUAAUGGAGGUUAUGGUCAUGAUGUAUAAUCCAACUAUUA